UGAGCAAUCUGCCCUUCUCUUUGGAAUAAGCGUUGGAAACGACGUCUAAUGCCGAAUACGACCUCCUUUCGCAUGAUCGGAGGUGGAGAGCUCCGGCGGAGAAGGAUGAGCUCGCGGCCUAUCAGCUAGUUGGUGUGGGUAAUGGCCCACAAGGCGACGACGGGUAGCCGGCCUGGAGAGGGUGACCCGGCCACACGUGGGACUGAGACACCGGCCCAGACCUCCGUACGGGAGCAG
rnacentral:rRNA from 1 species